GUGAAAUCGCGAAUUGGCGAUGAUCGUCGAUCUCAAACACAUAUACGAUCCGAUUGGCCCCAAUUCUGCACCAAAAAUCGAUUCAGAAACAAAGUAGGUAUCGAGAAAAUUGAGGAGACAUCACACAAAUACACAUGCCUGCUUCGAAUUUACUUACAUACAGGCACAUUUAUAAGCAUUGCUGUAUGUUUGUAUUGAGAGAGAGAGGCUCACACGAUCUUUUCCGCCCGACGAGCGGGACGGCGACUGGGGAUUGAGAGAGAAACCGUGUUGGGAUUGUCUCAAAAGCAGAGCGCGAGACGCGUAGCGUGGGGUGGGUGGGGGUUGGGGUGGCGGGGCUGUGGGUGUUUUUUGUAGAGGUCCUGGCGCAGUUAAAAAAUUAAAAGUCUUAAUAUAAUUGUAAUAUUAUUAUUGUAUAUAAAAAAUACUUUUAUGAAGAGAUUUUGAUAAUAUUUUAAGGGUGAAUUACAUGAACCCCCUGUUCCGUGAAAGAGUUUGCCCGUAAGUACACAAAGCACCUUUACCGUUGAAAAAUUUAAUAACCGCUACUAGGAGAUUGGAGAGGGGGGAGCAUCGCACACCCGGACACGCCCUGAGACCACCCCUCCGGGGCGCCUACGAAACGAGCAAAAGACCACCGACGUGGCGCGCGCUCGCCCGCGCGCGCGGGGGGGGUGAGGGGGGGGGGAGGGCAGGGGAUAAGGGGGAGGGGGGGGAGGUGGGGCGUGGGGGACGGGGAAGGGGGAGGGGGGAGGGGGGGGCGGCGAGGGGGGGAACGGAGUGAAGGGGAGGAGGGGUGCCGGGAAGACCCGGUGAGGGAGGGGGGAAAAGGUUGAUAAAUAAUGUCUCUCAAAAGUACAACAAAAAAAUUAACAAAAGAUACAAACAUAUAAUAAAAAAAAUGUAUCUCUUCAUAAAAAAAAUUGAUAAAAAAAGGAAAAAAAUAUGAAAAAAAAUGUAAAAAAAACAAAAUAAAAAAAACAGAAAAAAAAUAAUAAAAAACUACAAAAACUAAAAAACAUAGAGAAGGAGAGGUGUGUGUGGAAGAGGAUGGAGAAGCGAGAGAGAGGAGGGGGGAGCAUAGCAUUUUGUAAUUUCGUAAGGGAUGGACAAAGGAGAGAGGUGGGGUUAGGGGAGGAUCACCUCUUAAAACUCAGGGGAAGGUCAUUGUAAUUUUUCAAACGUUAAGGAUACUUUGUGUAUUAAAAGCAAAUCUCAGGGAGGUCAAUGUAAUUUCUCCUAUUUUGAAAAUAAGGGAGCUCAAUAUAAUUUAAAAAAUUUAUAUUUGUCAAAAAUAUUAGGUGAAGUCAGUAAAAUUUAUCUUUUCUUAUAUAUUAAUGCUAUUGAACAAGAAGUUCUUCUUUCAAUUUUUUUAUUUAGACUUAAACCUUAAUCGAAAAAUCACAUCAUAUAUAUUUAUGUUUUCUAUUCAUGAGAAUAUGACCCAAUUUUAGACAACAUUAAUUUUUUUGAAUUAAUUUUAUUUUUAAUAAAACUUUCCAUAUUAUAGUCAAAUUAAAAAUCUCUUUUAUUCCAAAUUAGGAUAUUGCAUAGGGAUCUUUGGCUCAAAAAAAAAAACAAACAGAAAUAAUGAAAAAAUAAUAAAUUAUAAUAAAAAAAUGUGUAAAAGAAGAGAGAGAGAGAGAGAGAGAGGCGAAUGGUGAGAGGAAAAAAAAUGGGAGAACUUAUUAAUUAGUAGGCAUAUAUAUGUCAUUAAUUUAUUAGACCACAUAAAUAAUUCUACCAACUUCAGCUCUAAGGACUUGAUUUUAACGCGGAAGCAUGAAAAAGAAAAGAGUAAAAAAACAUAAUUUUAGGAAUUUUAUAUUUUAGUUUUUUUAUUUUUAAUAUAGUAUCUUAUUAUGAAUAUUAAGAUUUAAUAUAUAUUAUCUAAAAUAUUUAGUUUUCUUAUUUGUUUUUUUUUUAAUUUUUUUAUUGGUCGUAGUGCUCAGGGCAAGAGAGUUUAUUAAUUAAUAAAAUUGAGUGAUUAGAUAGAUUUAUCUUUUGUUCCAAUUUUGAAAUAUUCUGUGUGAAUCCACCAAUUGUUAAUUCUUUUAUUCCUCUAUUAGAUUUAGAGUGGAUUUUAUUUCCGACAUUCAUAGAAUCAACAGGCUUAUAGUUUGUUUAACUUCCAUAUUAGAACUAAUAUAAAAAUAAAUUAUCAAAUCAAAUGGAAAAUAUUUUAUUUAAUAAUAUCUUAAUGUGAUUUGUCCAAUUGGAAAGUAUCUCAAUAUAUAUCAAACCAUAGUUAUUGAUGUUUUUAUAAUUUAAAAAAAUAUCAAAAAAUACUAUUAAUAUCUUAUUAAAAUUAAUUAUAUUAAACAUAAUAUUAAUGAUUAUUCAAUAUAUGCACAAAAAUAAUUUCUUUUAUCAGUGUCGUUUAAGACAAUGAUCUCAUUAUUAUAAUUUUUUAAAUUUGCCCAGGGUGGGAUUUUGCUUAGUUGUAAGGGGUCGUUGGGCUACCGAUAUUUGGAAGGGAAUGAAUUUUUCCCUCGGAUAA
rnacentral:lncRNA from 1 species